rnacentral:lncRNA from 1 species
GGGGGGGGGACGAUCUAGGGGGUUCCCAGUCCGGAUGACAGUGUCUCGGAGUGGGAAAGUUUGCGAACUUCGGCAUCAGGAUGCAAGCCCGUGCUAAUCCCUCAUACAGACGUGCCCCCACCUACUUCCACAAAGAUCCAAGCGGCUCAGGAAAAGACCGCACCCAGAGUCAAAACCCUUACUAACGACCGGCAGCGGUGGAGACAGCCCUUCACAUCAGCGCCGUGAGGGCAGGUUUCAAAACACUUUAUUCUCUACUCCUGUGACCUGAGAAAGCCACCAUCUUCGCACUGGGCUGCCUUAGAGAAAGGUCGUGGCAGGUGAUCUGUGCCGGGAGCCGGGGAGCCUGCCCUUGCCCAGCUGCCCUGAGCUCUUGUAGGAACGCAGCGCGCGCUCUUGUGGUGGAACGCGCACCAGGCACAGCAUCUGGCACGUAGAAGGGAAACGAGUGUGAAAAAAGAAUUGGGACCACCAGGGAGACAUGCCACAGAGUCAUCAGGGAGGACCACCAAACAUCCUUCCAGCUACCAGUUAAAGCAUUGAUAAUGUUGGCCUCUACAGCAGCUGAAUCAAGAAAGCAGAACUGCGGGGACUCUCACCCAGCAAUUAACGGUCUCAGCCCAGCAUUGAGGCACGUCCCUCCUGCUCACAACU